GGUUAAGCGACUAAGCGUACACGGUGGAUGCCCUGGCAGUCAGAGGCGAUGAAGGACGUGCUAAUCUGCGAUAAGCGUCGGUAAGGUGAUAUGAACCGUUAUAACCGGCGAUUUCCGAAUGGGGAAACCCAGUGUGAUUCGUCACACUAUCAUUACGUGAAUACAUAGCGUAAUGAAGCGAACCGGGGGAACUGAAACAUCUAAGUACCCCGAGGAAAAGAAAUCAACCGAGAUUCCCCCAGUAGCGGCGAGCGAACGGGGAGCAGCCCAGAGUCUGAAUCAGCUUGUGUGUUAGUGGAACGGUCUGGAAAGUCCGACGGUACAGGGUGAUAGUCCCGUACACCAAAAUGCACAGGUUGUGAACUCGAAGAGUAGGGCGGGACACGUGGUAUCCUGUCUGAAUAUGGGGGGACCAUCCUCCAAGGCUAAAUACUCCUGACUGACCGAUAGUGAACCAGUACCGUGAGGGAAAGGCGAAAAGAACCCCGGCGAGGGGAGUGAAAAAGAACCUGAAACCGUGUACGUACAAGCAGUGGGAGCCUCUUUAUGGGGUGACUGCGUACCUUUUGUAUAAUGGGUCAGCGACUUAUAUUCUGUAGCAAGGUUAACCGUAUAGGGGAGCCGAAGGGAAACCGAGUCUUAACUGGGCGUUAAGUUGCAGGGUAUAGACCCGAAACCCGGUGAUCUAGCCAUGGGCAGGUUGAAGGUUGGGUAACACUAACUGGAGGACCGAACCGACUAAUGUUGAAAAAUUAGCGGAUGACUUGUGGCUGGGGGUGAAAGGCCAAUCAAACCGGGAGAUAGCUGGUUCUCCCCGAAAGCUAUUUAGGUAGCGCCUCGUGAACUCAUCUUCGGGGGUAGAGCACUGUUUCGGCUAGGGGGUCAUCCCGACUUACCAACCCGAUGCAAACUGCGAAUACCGAAGAAUGUUAUCACGGGAGACACACGGCGGGUGCUAACGUCCGUCGUGAAGAGGGAAACAACCCAGACCGCCAGCUAAGGUCCCAAAGUCAUGGUUAAGUGGGAAACGAUGUGGGAAGGCACAGACAGCCAGGAUGUUGGCUUAGAAGCAGCCAUCAUUUAAAGAAAGCGUAAUAGCUCACUGGUCGAGUCGGCCUGCGCGGAAGAUGUAACGGGGCUAAACCAUGCACCGAAGCUGCGGCAGCGACACUAUGUGUUGUUGGGUAGGGGAGCGUUCUGUAAGCCGUUGAAGGUGGCCUGUGAGGGUUGCUGGAGGUAUCAGAAGUGCGAAUGCUGACAUAAGUAACGAUAAUGCGGGUGAAAAACCCGCACGCCGGAAGACCAAGGGUUCCUGUCCAACGUUAAUCGGGGCAGGGUGAGUCGACCCCUAAGGCGAGGCCGAAAGGCGUAGUCGAUGGGAAACAGGUUAAUAUUCCUGUACUUGGUGUUACUGCGAAGGGGGGACGGAGAAGGCUAUGUUAGCCGGGCGACGGUUGUCCCGGUUUAAGCAUGUAGGCGGAGGUUC
rnacentral:rRNA from 1 species